CUGACCAACAUGGUGAAACCCCAUCUCUACUAAAAAUACAAAAAUUUGCAAGGCGUGGUGGUGGGUGCCUGUAAUGCCAGCUACUUGGGAGGCUGAAGCGGGAGGAUCACUUGAACCCGGAAGGCGGAUGUUCCAGUGAGCCAAGAUCGCACCACUACACUCCAGCCUGGGAGACAGAGUGAGAUAUCAUCUCAAAAAAGAAAAAAAAAAAAGUUUCCCCCAUGUCCCUUCCCAGCAUCUACCCUAGGCAGGUUUGAAGAAUUGAUGUAUUGCCAGCAGAACCCCAGCUGAUGCCCGACCUGCACAUCUCAUCAUUACCCUGUGCAGGCUGCAGAUCAAGCUGCAACAGGCCCGGGUCUCCCUCCUUCUCCAAGUGGCUCCUGGGGCUGGGGUAACCUCCCACACUGGAAGGUAGACUUCGGAAGACCCUUCUGGAAAUGCUCCCAACUUGGGAAAACAGCGCUUCAGACUUCAGACCCAGGAAGAGAUCACCCAGUGCUCCUUUUAUGGGGCAUACAACUGAAGCCAAGAGGUAAACCAGGUCACCCACAAAGCUGGUGGCAAGUCAAGAACUGAGUCUCAGGCCUGGUGCGGUGGCUCAUGCUUGUAAUCCCAGCACUUUGGGAGGCCGAGGUAAAGGAUUACUUGAGCCUAGCAGUUCAAGACCAGCCUGGGCAACAUAGUGAGACCUCAUCUCUACCAAAAAUUUAAAAAAUUAGCUGGCUAUGGUAGCACAUGCCUGUAGUCCCAGCUACUCAGGAGGCUGAAACGGAUCACUUGAGCCUAGGAGUUCAAGUCUGCAAUAAGCUAUAAUGGCACCAUUGCACUCCAGCCUAAGUGACAAAGCCAGACCCUGUCUCAAAAAAAAAAAAAAAAAAAGAACUGAGUCUUGGCCGGGUGUUGUGGCUCACACCUGUAAUCCCAGCACUUUGGGAGGCCAAGGCGGGCGGAUCAUUUGAGGUCAGGAGUUCAAGACCAGCCUGGGCAAUGUUGUAAAACCCCUUCUCUACCCAAAAUACAAAAAUUAGCUGGGCAUGGUGGCACCUGCCCGUAAUCUCAGUUACUUGGGAGGCUGAGGCAGAAGCAUAGCUUGAACUCAGGAGGUGAAAGCUGUGGUGAGCCAAGAUCGCACCACUUCACUACAGCCUGGACGACAAAGCGAGAUUCUGUCUCAAAAAAUAUUUUAGUGUGACAAAAUAUUGCAUGCACACUGGGAAGGACAGCUCCAAUUCAUUCAUUCAAACUCUCUCCCAAAACCCUUUCCAGCAGAACAAUGUCCGUCAGGGCAAAGUGUUGUGGGAUGUCAGGGACUCCCAACAGAGGGACCCGCUGAAGCCAUGGCAGAAGAACAUAAAUUGUGAAGAUUUAAUGGAUAUUUAUUAGUUCCCCAAAUUAAUACUUUUAUAAUUUCUUACGCCUGUCUUUACUGCAAUCUCUGAACAUAAAUUGUGAAGAUUUCAUGGACACUUAUCACUUCCCCAAUCAAUACCCUUGGGAUUUCCUAUGCCUGUCUUUACUUUAAUCUCUUAAUCCUGUCAUCAUAAGCUGAGGAGGAUGUAUGUAGCCUCAGGACCGUGAUGAUUGCAUUAACUGCACAAAUUGUUUGUAGAGCUUGUGUGUUUGAACAAUAUGAAAUCUGGGCACCUUGAAAAAAGAACAGGAUAACAGCAAUGUUCAGGGAACAAAGGAGAUAACUUUAAACUCUGACUGCCCGUGAGCCGGGCAGAACAGAGCCAUAUUUCUCUUCUUUCAAAAGCAAAUGGGAGAAAUAUCGCUGAAUUCUUUUUCUCAGCAAGGAACAUCCCUGAGAAAGAGGAUGCGUCCCUGAGGGAGGCCUCUGAAAUGGCCACUUUGGGGACAGCUGUCUUUUACGGUCAUCGCUGAGGGAUGAAAUAAGCCCCGGUCUCCUGUAGCGCUCCCAGGCUUAUUAGGACGAGGAAAUUCCCGCCUAAUAAAUUUUGGUCAGACCGGUUGUCUGUUCUCAAACCCUGUCUCCUGAUAAGAUAUCAUCAAUGACAAUGUGUGUCUGAAACUUCAUUAGCAAUUUUAAUUUCGCCCCGGUCCUGUGGUCCUGUGGUCUUGCCCUGCCUCCAUUUGCCUUGUGAUAUCUUAUUACCUUGUGAAGCACAUGAUCUCUGUGACCCACACCCUAUUCGUACACUCCCUCCCCUUUUGAAAAUCACUAAUAAAAACUCGCUGGUUUUGCGGCUUGGGGGACAUCAUGGAACCUGCCGACAUGUGAUGUCUCCCCCGGACACCCAGCUUUAAAAUUUCUCUCUUUUGUACUCUGUCCCUUUAUUUCUCGGACCAGCCAACACUUAAGGAAAAUAGAGAAGAACCUACGUGAAAUGUCGGGGGUGAAUUUUGCCUGAUAGUAAAGGUUCCCAAGUUGGCUGACUGGGGCCUUAGCUUCUCAAAAGGGGAAGACCAUGAGACUGGGAUGCCCA
rnacentral:lncRNA from 1 species